CAAUAGCAAGUUGAGAUCUCAUAGUGGCAUCUGUGGCCAAAUGUCAGUACUUAAACCAUGUGUACUCUGAAGUUUUUCCAGCAGUCUGUCAUUAAGUAUAACUUGACAAAAUUUAAGUAAUGCCAAUAUGAGAUGAAGACCGUGCUACUGCAAAGCCUUUUACCUUGAAAAAGCCUUUAAUAGCAUUUGGGAAACUAAAUAUACAUUAUAGCUCUGAGCUCUCAGUUUCCAGAGAGUAAAAACAAAUUCUUUCCAUCCAUACAACACUCAACCAUAAGAAUAUCCGGUGUCUUUUUUUAUUACAUAGAGCAGUUUCAGAAGCUUCAGAUGAGAAUAUGUGCACACAUAUAUCCAGUAAUUCUCUGGUGCAUUCUUCCAGCUUUGAACACUGAGUAGAUUACAGACUGAUCUGCUCUGUGCAUCAAGAGCCUCUGUCACACAACUGUGAAACUUGAAAACUGGAGAAGAAUGCAGAGCAUUUUUACAGUCCAGGUCAAGCAACAGCUCUCCCAUGGGAUGUGGUAAGGAUUUAAAGCAUGCAGGUGUCUGUCUCAAGGAACAGUCAAGGCCACAGAAGGAACUACAGUAUAAACCACAACAGCAGAAACUUGAGAUAAGCACAGAUAGCAACAUCAGGAAGGUUCUAAUUCCUGGCCUAAUGGAGGUGAAGACUUGUUUAGCACACUGGACAAAAAUUCCUACUGUGCAGAUUGUGAGAAAGAUAACAAAUACUUAUACCCAUGUGAGCCCAUAUUGUAGGAACAUCUGUGACCACACUGAGGAUACCCAGACUUGAACUGUGUAAAGGUGGUACCACCAGAAGAACAACUCUGAGACCCCCACCACUGAGAAGACCAGGAGGGAGGAGGACUAGCAGGAUGCCACUGCAUCCAUGGGAGUUUCUUUCCAAGAGGCACUGCCUUUGUUACAAGACUGGAGCUUCCUAAUUACCCACAAUGCAUUAACCAUUGCCUAAAAUCUGAUUCCUGGGGCCAGAUGAGCUCAGGCACUUGUGGAGUCCUAUCCUCUCCACAGCAGCCCAAAGAAAGGAGAGAGGAGGAAAAGACUCCUCAUCAACAAAGCAAGGAAAGGAAAUUACCUGAUGGAAAGGAAUGAAGAUGAGAGAGCUGGAGUCUUCUGUAGGACCAAGUGAAACACCAAGAGGUAAUCAACCUGAAUGACAAAUUUCAGCAAUGGAAAGUGCCAGAUUACGCACCUGGGAAGGAUGACCCCUGGAUGUACACAGACUGAGGAGUGAGAUGCUGGGAAGCAGUGCUACAGAAAGGGAUUUGGGGGUCUUGGUUGAUGCAGAGUUGGAUAUGUGUCAGCAGGGUCCUGGUAGCCAGGGGAGCCAUCUGUGUCCAAUGGUUCAUCAGGAACAGCAUCAUCCUGGACAUCCUACUAUAGCUGACCCUGCCUGAAUGGGGAGGGUGAGUGUGGUGUUUGGGAUGUGUGGACUAGAUGAUUUCCAGAGCUCCCUCCCAACUUCACCUUUUCUGAGAUACUGUGAUUCUAUGAGCUGAAGUCUCCCAGUUCUAAAGAACAACAUGAUCCAGAUUCUGAUUUCAAGGGCACUGAAGUAACUCUUAGGAUAUCUGAUGCCUUUCCCUGAAGUCAAAUGAAAACGGGGAAAUAGGUUUCUCAGAACAAGAUUCACAGCCCCAUACAAGCUUGGGCGUUCAUGGAGAUCUUCACUUCCAAUUGGGAAAUCAAAACAAUUUUCUCCCUUAAAGAAAGGAACAAAAUUAAUUAUUCCAUCCCAGAGGGAAGAAAGUAACACGAAUCAAGAAAAUAAAAAAGGACAAGCUUUAUUUGAGCUUCUGUUUGAUUCUUGUGUGGAAAAAAUAACUCUUGGGUCCCCUCUGAGCAGACAAGCCAUUUUAUACCACUGUUGAAGUAGUCUACAAGCACUGGAAUAAAAAUUCAUAACAUUUCAGUCAAUCACCUGCUAUGUGAGUCAGAGAACAGUAAGCUGAGCAACUAGACCAUCUACGUUGAUAGCUUAAAUCACACUAAAAGGGAAAAGUGUAAAGCUUCAAAAUUUAACACAGUCCAAUAAACGUGCACUUCACUGAGGUUUGUUUUUUUUCUUAUAUAAGGGGCAGAGCAAGAUAUAGAUCAUAAAAAGCUAAGUAAAAUCUGACAUUACACUGAAGAUUUAAUACUCACUGUUUUCCACUGCCAAUGUAAUCAGAGAAAUAAAACUCCAACUAUUACAAGCCAAGCAUAUUAAAGAAGCAGAGUUUAUCUUCCCAAAACCGCUGCAUUAAUUGUCUUGUCAAGUAUUAGUAGUCAAGUUUUAUCCCUUAAUGAGGAAAGUGUCAUGAAUUAAGAAAAGUGAAAUGUCUCGAAUAAUAAUCAUAAAGUUAAAUAAAAUGAAUUAAUGAAAGGAUAUGUACA